GCGCCCUUAGCUCAGCUGGCAGAGCAACUGACUCUUAAUCAGUGGGUCGAAGGUUCGAAUCCUUCAGGGCGUA
rnacentral:tRNA from 1 species